rnacentral:rRNA from 1 species
GAAUUCGCCCUUAGAGUUUGAUCCUGGCUCAGGACGAACGCUGGCGGCGCGCCUAACACAUGCAAGUCGAACGAGAGAGAGGGAGCUUGCUUCCUCAAUCGAGUGGCGAACGGGUGAGUAACGCGUGAGGAACCUGCCUCAAAGAGGGGGACAACAGUUGGAAACGACUGCUAAUACCGCAUAAGCCCACAGGUCGGCAUCGACCAGAGGGAAAAGGAGCAAUCCGCUUUGAGAUGGCCUCGCGUCCGAUUAGCUAGUUGGUGAGGUAACGGCCCACCAAGGCAACGAUCGGUAGCCGGACUGAGAGGUUGAACGGCCACAUUGGGACUGAGACACGGCCCAGACUCCUACGGGAGGCAGCAGUGGGGAAUAUUGCACAAUGGGGGAAACCCUGAUGCAGCGACGCCGCGUGGAGGAAGAAGGUCUUCGGAUUGUAAACUCCUGUUGUUGAGGAAGAUAAUGACGGUACUCAACAAGGAAGUGACGGCUAACUACGUGCCAGCAGCCGCGGUAAAACGUAGGUCACAAGCGUUGUCCGGAAUUACUGGGUGUAAAGGGAGCGCAGGCGGGAAGACAAGUUGGAAGUGAAAUCUAUGGGCUCAACCCAUAAACUGCUUUCAAAACUGUUUUUCUUGAGUAGUGCAGAGGUAGGCGGAAUUCCCGGUGUAGCGGUGGAAUGCGUAGAUAUCGGGAGGAACACCAGUGGCGAAGGCGGCCUACUGGGCACCAACUGACGCUGAGGCUCGAAAGUGUGGGUAGCAAACAGGAUUAGAUACCCUGGUAGUCCACACCGUAAACGAUGAUUACUAGGUGUGGGAGGAUUGACCCCUUCAGUGCCGCAGUUAACACAAAUAAGUAAUCCACCUGGGGAGUACGACCGCAAGGUUGAAACUCAAAGGAAUUGACGGGGGCCCGCACAAGCAGUGGAGUAUGUGGUUUAAUUCGACGCAACGCGAAGAACCUUACCAAGUCUUGACAUCCUGCGACGAUGCUGGAAACAGUAUUUUCCUUCGGGACGCAGAGACAGGUGGUGCAUGGUUGUCGUCAGCUCGUGUCGUGAGAUGUUGGGUUAAGUCCCGCAACGAGCGCAACCCUUACUGUCAGUUACUACGCAAGAGGACUCUGGCAGGACUGCCGUUGACAAAACGGAGGAAGGUGGGGAUGACGUCAAAUCAUCAUGCCCUUUAUGACUUGGGCUACACACGUACUACAAUGGCGUUAAACAAAGAGAAGCAAGACCGCGAGGUGGAGCAAAACUCAGAAACAACGUCCCAGUUCGGACUGCAGGCUGCAACUCGCCUGCACGAAGUCGGAAUUGCUAGUAAUCGUGGAUCAGCAUGCCACGGUGAAUACGUUCCCGGGCCUUGUACUCACCGCCCGUCA